GUGGCCUAGUGGUUAAGCGUUUGGCUGUUAACCAAAAGGUCAGUGGUGCUAAUUCACCAGCCACUC
rnacentral:tRNA from 1 species